rnacentral:rRNA from 1 species
GACGAACCGUGCGAACGUUGUUCGGAAUCACUGGGCUUAAAGGGCGCGUAGGCGGCCCGCCGCGUCCGGGGUGAAAUCCUCCCGCUCAACGGGAGAACGGCCUCGGAUACGGGCGGGCUGGAGGCGGGUAGGGGCAGGCGGAACUGUGGGUGGAGCGGUGAAAUGCGUAGAUAUUGCUCGGAAGGCCAGAGCCGAAGGGGCCCUACUGGUACGUAACUGACACUGAGGCACGAAAGCGUGGGGAGCAAACAGG